rnacentral:sRNA from 1 species
GCACAGUUUAAAAUAUUUACAAUAUAGGACUGUGUCUCGGCUUUCUGGUGGUAACCCUAUACAGCCAGAUACACGGAAGAUAAAAUUCCAUGUCAGGAGAUAAAGAGGUAUGGCCUCUUACCAGAAAGUUCUCUCCCCUUUUGAUCACUAAAACAAUGGGACCAGCUUUGAGGCUCCUAAAGGACUGGUAGGCAUCAAGCAGGGAGAGGCCUUGUAAAGUUAUUUGCACUUGAUGGUCUGAAGCCUCACCUUAACCUGCCAUCUUUGUCUGCUGGGGAGCCUGUGUAAACAUCCUGUAUAAAUAUCUGACUCAUGCCCCUACAGUCCUUCCUAAUGAGAGAGAUUCCUAGUCCUAUUCCACUCUCUGGAAUAAAAAUUGAUUUAACUGCAAAUCAAUUUUGAAUUUUAAUGGUUUCCUUGGUUAUAAUACAUACUUUUGUGUGGGUACCAUAAUAUCAUGCUUGACAAUUUAAUAACAAACAUUUUAGCAAUGACCUUUUAUGUAGUCAAUCAUCAAGAUAAUGAACAAUGGAAUAUUAGAAGUAUUUACAUAUGCAGCAUUUCCUUCUGAUAAUAGCUAUCAUUUUCUAAUAAUGUAGAUUGUCUGGCUCAAUCUAAAAUAACUAAUCAUGCUGGAUUGCCAGACCUUUUUGAAGCAGGAUUUCCUGUAGAGAGUUGUCUUUUCCUGAAUGGCUAAAAUCAGAAUUGGAUGAGAGUCUGUUGCUAACUUCACUUGGUGCUCUUUCCUCUAGAGAAUCACUGAGUCUAUUGUCAUAAUUACUAAUAUCAGAAAAACGUUUAUGUGUUCCUAGAAUUUCAUCACAGAAUGUGGCAAGGUCAUCAAAGCUUGGGGAAGGGGAAUGGCCUGGGGUAGAAACUGGGCUUCCUUCGGAGGAGAAUUCCACUGGUGUUAUUCUACCUGACCUCAGGGAAGGGCUGUAAAGUUAAUUCUCGUUUGUUUAAAUUAAAACCAUAAAUAAAUGAAGAUAGAGAAAAUUAGUCUGCUAAUCAACAGAAAAAUCAUACAAAUAAAAUAUUCCUUUUUUAUGAUUAAAAUAAAGUCAUUGCUUUAUAAGACCAUAACUAUUUAAAAAAUCAAAACAAGGUUAAUUUGAUAUUUAGAUCAUACCUGGAGGCCCGAGACCUUGACCUUCUGGUAAAAGUUAUUGAGACUGGUCCUUUUCUGAGCGAUCUAAAUUUGUGUAUGGCCUCUUUGUGAGUAAGCCCUUUGAUUGGCUGGUCAUUGACCUUCAGAAUCUCAUCCCCUGUAAACAGAUCAGAUGCUAUCUGUCCUAUUAAUGGUCUUUCAAUGAUUUUUCUCAUAACAAUUCACUACAGUAUUGAUUGGACAUCUGUUUCCACUGUUUGUUUAUACAUGAUAUAAUGAAAUAAAGAUAUCUUUAC